CGAUGAGGUAGAGGUGCAUUUAGUAUUAGUAACCCUUUGGAGAAUGACAACGUUGAUAAAGGGUGAAAGGGCUACUUGCCGAAGUGUGAAAAAACGUCAUUUUUUUUACGCUGGUAUGUUCUUGAAUAAGGAAUAUACUGUCAUGCAAACCGAACGUUGGAUUGCAUGAUGCGCUACUGAUCGA
rnacentral:ncRNA from 2 species